AUUGAACGCUGGCGGCAUGCCUUUCACAUGCAAGUCGAACGGUAACGGGCCUUCGGGUGCCGACGAGUGGCGAACGGGUGAGUAAUACAUCGGAACGUGCCCGAUCGUGGGGGAUAACGAGGCGAAAGCUUUGCUAAUACCGCAUACGAUCUACGGAUGAAAGCAGGGGACCGCAAGGCCUUGCGCGGACGGAGCGGCCGAUGGCAGAUUAGGUAGUUGGUGGGAUAAAAGCUUACCAAGCCGACGAUCUGUAGCUGGUCUGAGAGGAUGAUCAGCCACACUGGGACUGAGACACGGCCCAGACUCCUACGGGAGGCAGCAGUGGGGAAUUUUGGACAAUGGGCGCAAGCCUGAUCCAGCCAUGCCGCGUGCAGGAUGAAGGCCUUCGGGUUGUAAACUGCUUUUGUACGGAACGAAAAGCCUUCUUUUAAUACAGGAGGGUCAUGACGGUACCGUAAGAAUAAGCACCGGCUAACUACGUG
rnacentral:rRNA from 1 species